AAAAUAGAUCCGUGUUCAGGUGGCUUGAAACCGGAAAGGGAACCCCGUGAGAAUCGGGGACGGCCACGCCGCUGUAAUCGGGGACGAAACCUGCCAUAUCCACUAUCCGAAACCCGAGCUUAUCGAAGGGUCAAAAGAUGGGAAGGGGCAGGAAGGCCUGAAGGUCGAGGAAGAUUUCAGGCCGCAGUAGGAUGAUCCGUAAGCCAGAAAACCUGCCUGAAUGCGCUUCACAAU
rnacentral:ncRNA from 2 species